AGCUAGGCUUGUGUGGAGCGGGCAAGAGGAAGGGUUGUGCAUCACACGAUCGGCCGCCCCCACCCCUCGUUGCAAAGGACUGCGUGCUUGGUGGGAGAGGCGGGGUAGGGCUGCAUUGUUUCGUCAUCGCGUUGUUGAUUACUAUUGCAAAUAGAUCUAUGCUUAUCUAGUAAAACUAUGUUUUGAAAAAUUUGAAAAAGCACCGUUCGGUUAGUGCAGACUAAAGACUGCUCACUUUGACCAGCGCAAUUAAACUGUCUUGGUACUGGUGGGCUCAUUACCGAUCGUACUCGAAAGCAUUGCUCAUCGUGUUUCUCAUUCUCAAUCUGUCAAUUUUAAAUUCUCUCAAAUUUCAAAUUCAAGUCAAUAGGCAAAGAUCUAACCUAUCUGAUCUAGGACAAUAGCCGAAAAAAGAAAAAUCUGUUCAGGCCCAAUCUUUGCUGCUUUCCUUGAUUCUCUAACACAGCUGAUGCCAUAACACUAUUCAUGUAUCCCUUGAACUACAGAGGCUGGUCCAGGUGAAUUCGAGUUAUCCGUGUUAUACUGUUCAUUCACCAUAAUGCCAGUGCAGAGAAGCAGACCAAACCGUGGAACACAUCCUCCAGAGGUGCAGACCAAACCGUGGAACACAUCCUCCAGAGGUGCAGGACAAACCGUGGAACACAUCCUCCAGAGGUGCAGGACAAACAGGGUCCCAAGACAGGAAACGUGGCCAACCCCCUUGACAGUACAACAGAAACUAUGGCUAACAGCACAACUGAGCAGGACAGCCCAUCUACUGCACUUCAAGUGUGGUGCGAUUGAGAAUUAAAAGAAAGACACAUAAA